rnacentral:rRNA from 1 species
GAGAGUUAAAUAGUACGUGAAAUUGUUGAAAGGGAAACGAUUGAAGUCAGUCAUGCUAGUGAAAAAUCAGUUUGGCGGGUUUUGAGUUCGGGAGUAGAGGCAGGGUCAAACCGUCUCUCUUUUUGGACUUGGGAUUUGUCGGACGUACUUUUUCUUUGGCAGGUCAGCGUCGGUUUCGGAGGUUGUAAAAUACUUGGGGGAAAGUAGCUCUGCUUCGGGAGAGUGUUAUAGACCCUGGGGGAUGCAGCCUGUGGGAUCGAGGGUUGCAGCAAAUGCCUUUGGCUUGUCGCCUGAUCUCUGGAUGUUACCUCUCUUGUGACAACAUUCUUGCCACCGGAGGGUACUAAUGCCCAUUACUUAGAGCGAUCGAAAAUUUGCUAAGGAUGCUGACGUAAUGGCUUUAAACGA